UACGUAGGUGGCAAGCGUUGUCCGGAUUUAUUGGGUUUAAAGGGUGCGUAGGCGGCCCUGUAAGUCAGUGGUGAAAUACUCUAGCUUAACUAGAGGGGUGCCAAUGAUACCGCAGGGCUUGAGUACAGAUGAGGUAGGCGGAAUUGACGGUGUAGCGGUGAAAUGCAUAGAUAUCGUCAAGAACACCGAUAGCGAAGGCAGCUUACUGGGCUGUAACUGACGCUGAUGCACGAAAGUGUGGGGAGCAAACAGG
rnacentral:rRNA from 1 species